GCAGUCGUGGCCGAGUGGUUAAGGUGAUGGACUUGAAAUCCAUUUUGGUUUUUCCAGCGUAAGUUCGAAUCCUACCGGCUGCG